GGGCCGGUAGCUCAGCUUGGAUAGAGCACCUGCCUUUUAAGCAGGUGGUCGUGGGUUCAAAACAAGUUUAGUAUAAUACUAAUUUGUGUAUUUCCCAUCCGGCCCA
rnacentral:tRNA from 1 species